AUCCAGCUGACGAGUCCCAAAUAGGGAGGAACACGCGUCUUGGAU
rfam:Schistosoma mattheei strain Denwood, Zambia genome assembly, scaffold: SMTD_contig0001756